AGCAGCCGCGGUAAUUCCAGCUCCAAUAGCGUAUAUUAAAGUUGUUGCAGUUAAAAAGCUCGUAGUUGAAUUUUGGAUUCUUCCAAUUGGUCCAUCUUUUAGAUGAGUACUGGUUGUGUGGGGUCUAUCCGCCUGGUGAUACGUAAUGUCCUUUAUUGGAUGUUGCGGGUAGUCAGGACCUUUACCUUGAAAAAUUAGAGUGUUUAAAGCAGGCUUAUGCCGGAAUACAUUAGCAUGGAAUAAUAGAAUAGGACGAAGUUGUUUUAUUUUGUUGGUUUCUAGGACAACCGUAAUGAUUAAUAGGGAUAGUUGGGGGCAUUAGUAUUCAAUUGUCGGAGGUGAAAUUCUUGGAUUUAUUGAAGACUAACUACUGCGAAAGCAUUUGCCAAGGAUGUUUUCAUUAAUCAAGAACGAAAGUUAGGGGAUCGAAGACGAUCAGAUACCGUCGUAGUCUUAACCAUAAACUAUGCCGACUAGGGAUCGGGCGAUGUUGUUUCCAUGACUCG
rnacentral:rRNA from 1 species